AUUGUAGGCUCUUCUAAAACAUCCAUGUUUUAGAAGGUCACUCAGACAAUAAUGCUAUAUUGGGAGUGAUCGUUAA
rnacentral:tRNA from 1 species